rnacentral:rRNA from 1 species
UACGUAGGUGGCAAGCGUUGUCCGGAAUUAUUGGGCGUAAAGCGCGCGCAGGCGGUCCCUUAAGUCUGAUGUGAAAGCCCACGGCUCAACCGUGGAGGGUCAUUGGAAACUGGGGGACUUGAGUACAGAAGAGGAAAGCGGAAUUCCACGUGUAGCGGUGAAAUGCGUAGAGAUGUGGAGGAACACCAGUGGCGAAGGCGGCUUUCUGGUCUGUAACUGACGCUGAGGCGCGAAAGCGUGGGGAGCAAACAGG